CAGUCGCCGCGGGAAUACGUAGGGUGCAAGCGUUAAUCGGAAUUACUGGGCGUAAAGCGUGCGCAGGCGGUUUGUUAAGACAGAUGUGAAAUCCCCGGGCUUAACCUGGGAACUGCAUUUGUGACUGGCAAGCUAGAGUCUGGCAGAGGGGGGUGGAAUUCCGCGUGUAGCAGUGAGAUGCGUAGAUAUGCGGAGGAACACCGAUGGCGAAGGCAGCCCCCUGGGCCAACACUGACGCUCAUGCACGAAAGCGUGGGGAGCAAACAGGAUUAGAUACCCCCGUAGUCCCUGUCUCUUAUAC
rnacentral:rRNA from 1 species